UACGUAGGGCGCGAGCGUUGUCCGGAAUUAUUGGGCGUAAAGAGCUCGUAGGCGGCUUGUUGCGUCUGCUGUGAAAUCCCGGGGCUUAACCCCGGGCGUGCAGUGGAUACGGGCAGGCUGGAGGCAGGCAGGGGAGAAGUGGAAUUCCGGUCGUAGCGGUGAAAUGCGCAGAUAUCGGGAGGAACACCGGUGGCGAAGGCGGUUCUCUGGGCCUGUUCUGACGCUGAGGAGCGAAAGCGUGGGGAGCGAACAGG
rnacentral:rRNA from 1 species